ACUUUUCUCUUCAGCUUCCCCAUGAGCUGCAAGCUGAGAGCAACGGGAAGGCUGCGUGCAGCAGGCUCUGCCUGCUUCCCUGUUCCUGCGGCUCCGCACAACACAACUGAUACAAGAAUCCAGGGCUCUGACCUUGGCUGCACCAACCCUGAGUCAGCUGAGCACAGAUGUGAUGAGGCAUAAGGACAAUGGUCCCGAUUCAUCAAGCACUGAACAAUCUCAUUUUAAAAAAGCCUGAGGAUGGCCUGGGAUGCCGUGUGUGUCUCCAGGGUCACACAAAUCAGAACAGGCAUGCCCUUUGAAAAAAAAAAAAAAAAAAAGCCUAUGUCAUGUUUAUAGAUUUUGAAUCUGCGAGUUCCUAAAGCUUCAGCCAGACUCUACAGGUGUCCGGGGCACUGGGAAACAAUCUGCAGAGACUCAACCGUUUGCAGGACCCGGCUGCAUCUCCCUGUGCAAGAGAAACCCCCAGUGCCUUGUCUGCCUUCCAAGCUGCUCAUCACCUGACACUGACUUCUCAGUUCAUUAUUCUUGCACUCUUCAUGACAUUUCAAAACUAAGAACAAACGCCUCCAGAAAGCUCUGGGAUUCAGGAAGAGCAGGAGGGUUCAGCAUAUGUGAGGAGCAUUUACUCUUCCUGGAGAUAACUGGAGAAGCUCUUUUGAAAGGAACAGGCUGGAGAAAAGACUGAAAACCACAGGAAUGUGUCACCAAGGGCCUGAUCCUGCCCCUCACUGGAAGCCCUGAGCUGUGACCAUACCUCAUCCUCAAAGACCACGAGCUGCGUUUUCCGUAGCUGGAUGUAACGAUCCUUCCACAAUCCCAGGAGCCCCCCACUGCUUUUCUUAAUCCAGCCGUAUUUCUCUGCAGUUGGAACAGACUUGGGUUUCUCCGAGACCUCCUCCUUUGUAUCCUGCAAGGACAGAAGCGAGAAGGAAUUGCAUCAAAAACCCUUGCCAUCCAUUUAAUGACGAUCACCAGAAAGCCCAAAAAGACCUCAGCACCAGUACAAGUCCCUCCCCACCACAUCACAGACUGGCAUCUUCCAGAGGAAAAGUCAACCAGCUCCCAGCGUAGAGCUGCCACGGGACUGGGGAGCAGCACAGAGCCUGGCCAGCCCUGGGAUCACUGCUGGGAUGGCACCAAAGCCACCUUGCUCCUCUGCUUCCCCAGUAGCCCAGAGACACUUCUGCAAGCUUCUCCUCUAGGUCUCUACAUUGGGUCAUUGCCCCCAAACCAACUUCUAUGAACAAAUCCACAGCAUGAGGGCCAGGACUUCAUCACAUCUGCACUAAAAUGUUCCUGGGAGGCUCCUGCGGGCUUUGCGAGCAGAAGGAAGGACUGUAGAGAAGGCAGCACCAAAAGUGGGGUCUUUUUUUUGCCCUGCCUUUAGCUCCUUGCUGCUCGUCACCACUUGCUCCUGCCCACCCACAGCAGCAUGGGGAGCCCCACAAUCCUGCACUAGGAGGCUGCUGGCUUUCCAGGCCUGCUAAAAACCAGGAGAUGCAUAACUUCCCUGCUUUGAAAAAAAAAAAAAAAACAAACCAAA